UACGUAGGGUGCGAGCGUUGUCCGGAAUUACUGGGCGUAAAGAGCUCGUAGGUGGUUUGUCGCGUUGUUCGUGAAAACCGGGGGCUUAACCCUCGGCGUGCGGGCGAUACGGGCAGACUUGAGUACUGCAGGGGAGACUGGAAUUCCUGGUGUAGCGGUGAAAUGCGCAGAUAUCCGGAGGAACACCGGUGGCGAAGGCGGGUCUCUGGGCCGAUACUGACGCUGAGGAGCGAAAGCAUGGGGAGCGAACAGG
rnacentral:rRNA from 1 species